rnacentral:rRNA from 1 species
UACGUAGGGUGCGAGCAUUGUCCGGAAUUAUUGGGCGUAAAGAGCUUGUAGGCGGUCUGUCGCGUCUGCUGUGAAAAUCCGGGGCUCAACCCCGGACUUGCAGUGGGUACGGGCAGACUAGAGUGUGGUAGGGGAGACUGGAAUUCCUGGUGUAGCGGUGAAAUGCGCAGAUAUCAGGAGGAACACCGAUGGCGAAGGCAGGUCUCUGGGCCACUACUGACGCUGAGAAGCGAAAGCAUGGGGAGCGAACAGG